UAGGGGAUCUUCCACAAUGGACGCAAGUCUGAUGGAGCAACGCCGCGUGAGUGAAGAAGGUCUUCGGAUCGUAAAACUCUGUUGUUAAAGAAGAACACGAGUGAGAGUAACUGUUCAUUCGAUGACGGUAUCUAACCAGCAAGUCACGGCUAACUACGUGCCAGCAGCCGCGGUAAUACGUAGGUGGCAAGCGUUGUCCGGAUUUAUUGGGCGUAAAGGGAACGCAGGCGGUCUUUUAAGUCUGAUGUGAAAGCCUUCGGCUUAACCGGAGUAGUGCAUUGGAAACUGGAAGACUUGAGUGCAGAAGAGGAGAGUGGAACUCCAUGUGUAGCGGUGAAAUGCGUAGAUAUAUGGAAGAACACCAGUGGCGAAAGCGGCUCUCUGGUCUGUAACUGACGCUGAGGUUCGAAAGCGUGGGUAGCAAACAGGAUUAGAUACCCUGGUAGUCCACGCCGUAAACGAUGAAUGCUAGGUGUUGGAGGGUUUCCACCCUUCAGUGCCGCAGCUAACGCAAUAAGCAUUCCGCCUGGGGAGUACGACCGCAAGGUUG
rnacentral:rRNA from 1 species